rnacentral:rRNA from 1 species
UACGGGGGGAGCAAGCGUUGUUCGGAUUUACUGGGCGUAAAGGGCGCGUAGGCGGUCAGCACAAGUCAGUUGUGAAAUCUCCGGGCUUAACUCGGAAAGGUCAACUGAUACUGUGCGACUAGAGUGCGGAAGGGGCAACUGGAAUUCUCGGUGUAGCGGUGAAAUGCGUAGAGAUCAGGAGGAACACCCGUGGCGAAGGCGGCCCUCUGGCUCGACCCUGACGCUGAGAGGCGAAAGCGUGGGGAGCGAACGGG